UUCGGAACUGAAGAUUUGGUGAUUGAGUGGCGGACGGGUGAGUAACGCGUGGGUAACCUGCCCUGUACAGGGGGAUAACAGUCAGAAAUGACUGCUAAUACCGCAUAAGCGCACAGCUUCGCAUGAAGCAGUGUGAAGAACUCCGGUGGUACAAGAUGGACCCGCGUCUGAUUAGCUGGUUGGUGAGGUAACGGCCCACCAAGGCGACGAUCAGUAGCCGGCCUGAGAGGGUGAACGGCCACAUUGGGACUGAGACACGGCCCAAACUCC
rnacentral:rRNA from 1 species